rnacentral:sRNA from 1 species
GUCGUGCUGAUUCGAUCGGGAUAGUCAUCAAAUAAUCAAGAAAAACCGAGAUGAUUUCCCGCUUCAAUGGCGGGCCGCAUAAAUUGCAUUCUGCGACUAAGUCCUUAGGGACCGGUGGAUUACAAAGAACGGGGACUCUCACAACUUUUGUAACUCGGACUUUUCAUCACAUCGUCAGUACGACUCUUA